AUUGAACGCUGGCGGCAGGCUUAACACAUGCAAGUCGAGCGGGGUGAUGGUGCUUGCACUAUCACUUAGCGGCGGACGGGUGAGUAAUGCUUAGGAAUCUGCCUAUUAGUGGGGGACAACAUCUCGAAAGGGAUGCUAAUACCGCAUACGUCCUACGGGAGAAAGCAGGGGAUCACUUGUGACCUUGCGCUAAUAGAUGAGCCUAAGUCGGAUUAGCUAGUUGGUGGGGUAAAGGCCUACCAAGGCGACGAUCUGUAGCGGGUCUGAGAGGAUGAUACGCCAGACGGGGACUGGGACACGGCCCAGACUCCUACGGGAGGCAGCAGUGGGGAAUAUUGGACAAUGGGGGGAACCCUGAUCCAGCCAUGCCGCGUGUGUGAAGAAGGCCUUAUGGUUGUAAAGCACUUUAAGCGAGGAGGAGGCUCUUUUGGUUAAUACCCAAGAUGAGUGGACGUUACUCGCAGAAUAAGCACCGGCUAACUCUGUGCCAGCCGCCGCAGUAACAC
rnacentral:rRNA from 1 species